rnacentral:rRNA from 1 species
CCCUAUGGGGUGCAGCAGUUACGAAAACUUUACAAUGCACGAAAGUGUGAUAAGGGAAUUCCUAGUGCUCAUACUUUGUAUGGGCUUUUGUCAAGUGUAAAAAGCUUGGCGAAUAAGUGAUGGGUAAGACCGGUGCCAGCCGCCGCGGUAACACCGGCGUCACGAGUGGUAAUCAUGAUUAUUGGGCCUAAAGCGUCCGUAGCCGGUUUAGUAAAUUUCUUGUGAAAUUGUUUAGCUUAACUAAACAGCGUGCAAGAAACACUACUAAACUUGGAAUCGGGAGGAGUUAGAGGUAUUUCAGGGGGAGCGGUAAAAUGCUAUAAUCCCUGGAGGACCACCUAUGGCGAAGGCUUCUAACUAGAACGAAUUCGACGGUGAGGGACGAAAGCCAGGGGAGCGAUCCGGAUUAGAUACCCGAGUAGUCCUGGCUGUAAACGCUGCGAGCUAGGUGGUGCAUGUUCUUAGUGGACGUGCGGCGCCUGAGUGAAGACGUUAAGCUCGCCGCCUGGGAAGUAUGGCCGCAAGACUGAAACUUAAAGGAAUUGGCGGGGGCUCACUACAAGGGGUGCGGCGUGCGGUUCAAUUGGAAUAUACGCCGGGAAUCUCACCAGGAGCGACGGCAGGAUGAAGGUCAGAUUGAAGGUUUUACCUAACAAGCCGAGAGGAGGUGCAUGGCC